CAAACAAUAUUAUCGAUAAGAAGAAGAAGAAUAAAAAAAAGCUUUAUGGCUAAAAGCAGUGCUUCAGUUGUUCUAGCUGUCCUUGUUGUAGCAUUAUUUCUGAAUGGCUAUAAUGCUGCUGAGAAAGCAGGAGUAGUCACAGUUUGCGUUAGGCUGCAAGGAUGUAUUGAAGUAACCUGUUCCCUCUAUUGUGCGUUAAGACGUUAUUCUGGCGGCUAUUGUCCAAAGCCGUCUGAGUGUUGUUGCGGUGAAGGAGUUUGAGAGAUAUAUGUUUGAUAACUCUACAUUCUAUAUAUGAUUGUACAAGUAUAUUAACAAAACAGUCUUUAAGGUUCUUAUUAAAAUAAGUUGGAAAAAACACUAUUGUAAGUUCAAUUUCGAUGGAAUUUCCUAUAUUAAUAAUUGCCAGAAAUAAAGUAAAAUACCUUUGAUCUUA